GAACCAAACCUGCUCUUUCGACCUUUAUCCAUCAGUGACACGCCAUGAAGCAAUGAAAACAACUAUAUAAAUAAAAUUACUGUCCGGACCUCAGGUCCCAAGAUAAUUGGACCUGAAACCAACAACAAACCAUAAGAAUGGGAACAGUCUUCUUAUAAGAAAAAUCGACAAAAGAAAACAGCAUCCAUUAACCACUGGGGAAUGAUGAUACCUACGGUAAAGCAGAUAAAUAUGAUGACAGCUAAAGAUAGAUCAUUCUACAUCCAGCAGAAGUGUUCUAAAUGUAAGAGUGCACGGCAUUAAAAAAGAGGAUUCUAACACGAGUUAGUUUACAAGAUGAACCACUUUUUCCUAUA
rnacentral:lncRNA from 1 species